CACAAAAACCAGCGUUUACUUUGUUUUCUAGAGCGCAGCAAGCUCCGACGCACAAGCGUCACUUCUCACAGCGAGGGGUGCUUUGCAGGUACCAUCUGCACUAUGCUGCCAGCACCUUGAGUUUUACUGCUGUCUUUCAGAAUAAGAAACAGAAACAUGAGGUGAUGCCACUUGGCCAAGGCUACAGAGGAAGGAGGUGGCAACAGAAUUGUACCCUGACAUUUCCCAGAGGUGAAGCCCGAGGUGAGUUUUCAUAAGCUCCGUGAAAGUCUUCAGCUUGGCCCUUGGAGUUCAUCUGACCAAAGCUGGUGGCUGCUGCUCGACUGCCCAGCCCUGGGGUCUCUGGGCUGUAGGAUGGGAGGCCAGAUGCCCCUCGGUCCUUGGCUCCUGCCUGGCUGUUCCUGGGGAAGGUGGGUUUCUUCAUGGUGACCUGCACAGCUGGCCUGUGGGCAGCACCUGAAAAGCUCUCCAGCUCUUUUGCUCCUGGAAGCAGAAUUGUCCCCAAGUCAGGUGGCCUUCAGCACAAGCCAAGCAGGUCAGGUGUUACAAUAAACAAGGUACAGACACAGCCCAUGUGUUGGACCACGCUGGAAUCCCUGAAGGGAUGAAGCUCAGGGAUGAGACUCCUCUGUGAGAGGGAACAUCAUCUCCACAUUGACCCAGGUAGAAGAGGGAUCAAAAGCAGAAACACAGAACAACUAGCAU